rnacentral:misc_RNA from 1 species
CAACAACAUCACCUUCACCAACCUCUUCAUCUUCUGCUAUUCCACCAACUACAUCCUCCACUACCUCACUACCAUCACCACCACCAGCCCCUUCUUUGCCAUCAAAUUCUCCUGCCACUUCACCACUGCCUGCAACAACAUCACCUUCACCAACCUCUUCAUCUUCUGCUAUUCCACCAACUACAUCCUCCACUACCUCACUACCAUCACCACCACCAGCCCCUUCUUUGCCAUCAAAUUCUACUGCCACUUCACCACUGCCUGCAACAACUUUGCCUAAUCAGACCACUGAUCCCCCGGUCCCUUCAACCCCUUCUAAAUCUUCAGCUCCACCCCCUCAAUCCUCCCCGCCCUCAAACCCUGCUGCCCCACCUCCAUCCCCACCAUCAUCACCUCCACCAUCUCUAACAACACCCUCAGCGCCACCACCAUUAGCACCACCUCCAUCACCCCCAGCAUCCCCACCACCAGCCCCUCCAACAUCACCACCUCAAUCAACACCUAUUGUCCCUCCUCCAGCUGUCACUACUUCACCGCCCCCUCCUCCUGAUAUAUCCCCCCCUCCACCACCAGCAAGCAGCCCUCCCUCUAAACAGCCCUCCCCAACCGCUCCUGUGGCAUCCCCUCCUUCCCCUCAAGCUGUUGCCCCUUCCCCACCUUCCCCUGUUAAUGUCCCUACGCCUCCUUCCACUAAUUCACCGCCUCCACCAGCAGUCAAGGCCCCUGAAAGUUCUCCUGCACCUCCAAAUGUUACUCCGCCAUCUAGUUCUCAGUCUGGUAGUCCUCCAACUGUAACAAAUUCUCCUCCUCCUCCAACAUCUACAUUGCCAUCACCACCUACUUCUGUCCCGUCAACUUCUUUACCCCCUGUAGUACCUCCUCCUGCUCCUCCAGAUAAUUCAUCAACAACAGGAACUUCUCCUUUGUCGCCCUUACCCUCUAUCCCUACAGAAAAGCCAACUGCAAGAGCAACUAACGAUAGCAAUGUCUCUGCAAAUACAACAUCCACAGGUGCAGGGAAUUUUAACACUGGAGCUGCAGUGGCAAUAGGCAUUGUUGUUGGGUUUAUAAUACUCAGUUUUCUCGUAAUGGCUGUUUGGGUUGUACAGAAACGAAAAAGAAGGCAUGCUAAAUCAAAUAUUGGGUACACUGUGCCGUCCCCAUUUGCCUCCUCCCAGAAUUCAGAAUCAUUAUUUCUAAGGCCCCAUUCUCAUGGACCUUUGGGAGGAAGCCCUUCUGGCAGUGAUUUGAUCUAUUCACCUUCAGAGCCAGGAGGAGUAAGCAAUUCAAAGUCAUGGUUCACAUAUGAGGAGCUAGUACAAGCCACAAAUGGGUUUUCAACACAAAAUCUUUUGGGUGAAGGUGGAUUUGGUUGUGUAUACAAAGGUAUCCUGGUGGAUGGCAGAGAAGUAGCUGUAAAACAAUUAAAGAUGGGCGGUUCUCAAGGAGAGCGUGAGUUUAAAGCUGAGGUUGAGAUUAUUAGCCGAGUACAUCANNCCGCCAUUUAGUUUCGCUAGUGGGUUACUGUAUAUCCGAGAAUCAAAGAUUGCUCAUCUAUGACUAUGUCCCAAACAAUACCCUUCACUACCAUCUCCACGAUGAAGGGAGGCCAGUUAUGGAUUGGGCAAUUCGGGU